ACAGUGUCAUGAAAAGCCAAAAAACUCAGGACGUUGAUGUGUUGCGGGCCCUCUGGAAAUUCCUGAAAUGUGCCCCUAAGUCAUGUUGGAGAAGGACGCAAAAUCUGAUCCAUCACACGACUCUUCAAGAGGGCCACUACGCUCUAGAUCGCCUUCUGUGCUCAGAGUUCCCUGAUGAGGAUCUACCCCAUCACACCACUCUAAUUAAUCAUUAAUCAAAUAAAACAAUGGGCCUUUAUAUGCUCAUAGUAUUUCUAUGCAUUAUGCAACAAUUACUGUAUGCAGAUGUGCGGAAAAUUGUGAUUGCUUGAUCUAUUUUAAAUGUAAGAAUAUGUUGCUGAUUAACUUUAAUUGGGGACUAUGGAAACAAAUAGAAAUGUAAUGAACAAUGUUUGCAAUAUCCAACUUUAUCCUCGGCAAUACUUUUUACAAAAGUAGAACCUAAAAGGGUUAUUCAGCUGUCCCCAUAGGAGAACCCUUUUGGGUUCUAUAUAGGACCCUUUCCACAGAAGGUUCGACAUGGAAACCAAAAGGUUUCUCCCUGGAACCAAAAAGGGUUAUUCUAUGGGAACAGCCAAAGAACCCCUUUGGAACCCUUUUUUCAAAGAGUGUAGGUAAUAAGCUGUAGUCAGGGGGUUAUUACCAGUUUAUGACAAGGUCUUAACUAUGACCUUGAGAGCGUUGGAGAGCGUUGGACUAGUAACCGAAAGGUUGCAAGUUCGAAUCCCUUAGCUGACAAGGUAAAAAUCUGUCGUUCUGUCCCUGAACAAGGCAGUUAACCCACCGUUCCUAGGCCGUCAUUGAAAAUAAGAAUGUGUUCUUAACUGACUUGCCUAGUUAAAUAAAGGUACAAAAUUAUUUUUAAAAGUAGGCUACAUAUGGCGGUCAGACAAUAAACCAUAUUCUGGUCAGUAAAAAAACAUUGAAAAAACAUACUUUUUCAACCAGUUUGCGACCUGAAUAAGGCAUAAUAAGUUGUCAUAUUGACUUAUUUUCAACCAGGUUUUGCUCACUGAGAAGCCCCCCUCUUAGUGUGAGUGACAUGAAUUUGAAACAACUGAAUGUAUGUGUAUUAGAAGUAGUAUUAGAAGUAGUUUUCACAUGCAAACUUUAUAUGUCCGAACUCAGAAUCAAACAUGCUUCCCAAAAAGAACAUGAUUGCUGUGGUAGAAUGUUUAUUUUGAUUGGCAAUUUCCUGCAUUUAUCAGAGUGCCAUCAGGUAGCCUGAUUUCAGAUGUUUCCAUGUAAACAGGAUUAUUAGGGGAAUCGUUCUUGAAAAGCAUGUAAACAUUUUUAUCAAACUAUUAUAUUAAUAUGACUAUCCACAAUCA